GACGAACGCUGGCGGCGUGCUUAACACAUGCAAGUCGAACGGAAAGGCCCUGCUUGCAGGGUACUCGAGUGGCGAACGGGUGAGUAACACGUGGGUGAUCUGCCCUGCACUUCGGGAUAAGCUUGGGAAACUGGGUCUAAUACCGGAUAGGAGCCAUCUUUAGUGUGGUGGUUGGAAAGUUUUUUCGGUGUAGGAUGAGCUCGCGGCCUAUCAGCUUGUUGGUGGGGUAAUGGCCUACCAAGGCGGCGACGGGUAGCCGGCCUGAGAGGGUGUACGGCCACAUUGGGACUGAGAUACGGGCCAGACUCCUACGGGAGGCAGCAGUGGGGAAUAUUGCACAAUGGGCGCAAGCCUGAUGCAGCGACGCCGCGUGGGGGAUGAAGGCCUUCGGGUUGUAAACUCCUUUCGCUAGGGACGAAGCUUUUUUGUGACGGUACCUAGACAAGAAGCACCGGCUAACUACGUG
rnacentral:rRNA from 1 species